UACGUGGAGUGCGAGCGUUAUCCGGAUUUACUGGGCGUAAAGCGUACCGCAGGUGAUUUUGUAAGUUUUUUGUCCAAGCCCGGAGCUUAACUUCGGAUCGGCAGAGAAUACUACAAGAAUUGAGUCUGUUCGGGGAACUUGGAAUUCUCGGUGGAGGGGUGAAAUCCGUAGAUAUCGAGAGGAACGCCAAGCGCGAAGGCAGGGUUCUAGAACACGACUGACACUCAGGGACGAAAGCUAGGGGAGCAAAAGGG
rnacentral:rRNA from 1 species